rnacentral:lncRNA from 1 species
CCCGAGUUUAUCUGACGAACCGGGAACCCACCGGGCUCACCUGGCCGUCACGGGGCUGUCGUGAGGCAGGCACCGGCAGGGCAGGGGCGGACGGACGGACCUCACUCUGGGCCCUGGGAGAGCGAGGCAGCCCCGGCCGGAGGACACCGGAGCUGUAGGCGCUACGGGCCGGUGGGGGCAGGGGACUGGGCUGGGCAGAGCUGCUUUGCACCCCCUCCAGCCCUGGGGACUCCUGAAAAGCCCCCACCCGGGGAAGGCGUGUCUGAUGAGGCUCUGGGAGGUGCCCAGGGCCACCUGCACAGAACCUUCACCCUGGGCAGCCCGCGAAGCGUGUGGGGCUCCUGGGGGCAUCACCUAUUUAUACAUAAACAGCCUGCGUUUUCUAGUGACUCCCGUGGCCUCUGUUCCUGCAGGGUCGGCGCCUGGUGGGUGGUCACGGGAGCCCCGCUGUGCUAAGUCUGGGUGUCGGGGCAAGUGUCCCGGGCGACGCUCAGAGCAGGGCAAAGAGCUCACGCGUGGACAGAGCGCCCUGCCCUGUGGCCCCGAGAGACCCAGGGUCGUGCUCACCUUCCUCCACAAGAUGGGCCUCCUGCCAGCCCGCCCUCGGCGGGUGGAUGAAGGCCACGGACGCAAGCCCGGAGGGGGCACGGGACACAGACGGGUCACACCUGGAGCCUGCCUUCCCUCGUCCUUCUCUCUUCCUGUGCGCCAGGCCAGCACCCCGAGAGACACAGGCCCUGCCAUCCAGAAGCUGUGACAUGCCCGAGCGGCCCGGGCAACGUGAGAGAGGGGCCAGAAGCAGCCAGUGGGGUGGGGAGGCCUCCGGGAAGGCCUGUGUCUGGGAGGGGGCGUGCGCAGGGGCCCGCGGGUGUGGGGAGCCAGGGCCGCAGGCCGGGCAAGAGCGGCCUGGUGGGCGCCACCCAGUGACAACCUCCCAACCCAUCACUGGGGAAAGAGGGCAAGGCGCUGAGGGUCCAGAGACCCCGCAGGGCAGGAGUCAACUACCAGCAUGGGCUCACCCCGCGGCCUCCUUGCUCCCUAGGCCUGGAGACACGGGACUCAAGGCCACAGCCUCUCCAAGGGCCCGGAUGGGCUGCCCGACAAGAUAGGCCAGGCUGCCUCCCCGAGCGAGGCCCCCACCCGCCUUAUCAUGC